rnacentral:lncRNA from 1 species
AAUACCCCUUAAAAACCCGAAGAACCCGAAAAUAUCCCUAAAAAUCCUAAAAACUCGAAAGUCCCUUAAAACCCCUAAAAACCCAAAAUUAUCCCUUAAAAACCUUGAAAACCCAAAAAUACCCCUUAAAAACCCUGAAAAUCUAAAAAUACCCCUAAAAAAACCUGAAACCCAAAAAUACCCCAAAAAAAACAAAUAAAGCAUAAAGUUCCCUUUACCAAUCUUAAAAACCCAAAAAUCCACCUUAAAAACCAUAAAAACCUGAAAAUACCCCUUAAAUACUCUAAAAACCCAAAAAUAGUCCUUAAAAACCCAAAAAUACCACUAAAAACCACUAAAAACCACUAAAAACCCUCAAAACACUUAUAAACCCCUAAAAACCAAUAUAAACCCCUAAAGAUCACUAAAACCCCCUCAAAAUACUUAUAGACAAAAACCACUAAAAACCCCUCAAAACACUUAUAAGCCCCUAAAAACCCACUAUAAACCCUUCAAAAACGACUAUAAACCCUUCAAAACCACUACAAAACCUCUCAAAACACUUAUAAACCCCUUAAAAACCACUAUAAACCCCUAAAAACCACUAAAACCCCCUCAAAACACUUAUAAACCCCUUAAAAACCACUAUAAACCCCUAAAAACCACUAAAACCCCCUCAAAACACCUAUAAACCCCUUAAAAGUGUGUAUGGGCGAAUAUGUGUGUGUUUGUG